rnacentral:rRNA from 1 species
UACGAGGGGGGCGAGCGUUGUUCGGAAUUAUUGGGCGUAAAGGGUGCGUAGGCGGUUCCGCAAGUCCUGUGUGAAAUCUUCGGGCUCAACUCGAAGUCUGCACGGGAAACUGCGGGGCUUGAGUGUGGGAGAGGUGAGUGGAAUUCCCGGUGUAGCGGUGAAAUGCGUAGAGAUCCGGAGGAACACCAACGGCGAAGGCAGCGCCCUGGACGAGACCUGACGCUCAGGCACGAAAGCUGGGGGAGCAAACAGG